rnacentral:misc_RNA from 1 species
UUUCCGUAGGUGAACCUGCGGAAGGAUCAUUACCGAGUGAGGGCCCUCUGGGUCCAACCUCCCACCCGUGUUUAUCGUACCUUGUUGCUUCGGCGGGCCCGCGUCACGGCCGCCGGGGGGCACCCGCCGCCGGCCCCGCGCCCGCCGAAGACACCGUUGAACGCCGUCGGAAAAUUGCAGUCUGAGCAUCUUAGCUAAAUCAGUUAAAACUUUCAACAACGGAUCUCUUGGUUCCG